AUGGAGCUAAUCACCAUCCUCGAGAAGACCGUGUCCCCCGAUGGGCUGGAGCUGGAAGCGGCGCAGAAGUUCCUGGAGCGUGCGGCUGGCGGUGGAGAGCCUGCCCACUUUCCUUGUGGAACUGUCCAGAGUGCUAGCAAAUCCAGGAAACAAUGAGGUUGCCAGAGUUGCAGCUGGUCUGCAAAUCAAGAACUCCUUGACACCUAAAGAACCCAAAUAUCUGGAUAUCAAGGCACAGUACCAGCAGAGGUGGCUUGCUAUUGAUGCUAAUGCUCAAGGAGAAGUCAAGAACUAUGUUUUGCAGACAUUGGGCACAGAAACUUACCAGCCUAGUUCUGCCUCACAGUGUGUGGCUGGUAUUGCUUGUGCAGAGAUCCCAGUAAACCAGUGGCCAGAACUCAUUCCUCAACUGGUGGCCAAUGUCACAAACCCCAACAGCACAGAGCACAUGAAGGAGUCAACAUUGGAAGCUAUUGGUUAUAUUUGUCAAGACAUAGACCCAGAGCAGCUACAAGAUAAAUCCAAUGAGAUUUUGACUGCCAUAAUCCAGGGGAUGAGGAAAGAAGAGCCUAGUAAUAAUGUGAAGCUAGCUGCUACUAAUGCACUCCUGAACUCAUUGGAGUUCACCAAAGCAAACUUAGAUAAAGAGUCUGAAAGGCACUUUAUCAUGCAGGUGGUCUGUGAAGCCACACAGUGUCCAGAUACGAGAGCAUGAGUGGCUGCUUUCUAGAAUCUGGUGAAGAUAAUGUUCUUGUAUUAUCAGUACAUGGAGGCAUAUAUGGGCCCUGCUCUUUCUGCAAUCACAAUUGAAACAAUGAAAAGUGACAUUGAUGAAGUGGCCCUACAAGGGAUAGAAUUCUGGUCCAAUGUCUGUGAUGAGGAAAUGGAUUUGGCCAUGGAGGCUUCAGAGGCAGCAGAACAAGGACAGCCCCCUGAGCACACCAGCAAGUUUUAUGCCAAGGGAGCACUACAGCAUCUGGUUCCAAUCCUCACACAGACACUAACUAAACAGGACGAAAAUGAUGAUGAUGAUAACUGGAACCCCUGCAAAGCAGCAGGGGUGUGCCUCAUGCUUUUGGCUACCUGCUGUGAAGAUGACAUUGUCCCACAUGUCCUCCCUUUCAUUAAAGAACACAUCGAGAACCCAGAUUGGUGAUACCGGGAUGCAGCAGUGAUGGCUUUUGGUUGUAUCUUGGAAGGACCAGAGCCCAGUCAGCUCAAACCUGUAGUUAUACAGGCCAUGCCCACCCUAAUAGAAUUAAUGAAAGACUCCAGUGUAGUUGUUCAAGAUACAGCUGCAUGGACCGUGGGCAGAAUUUGUGAGCUGCUCCCUGAAGCUGCCAUCAAUGAUGUCUACUUGGCUCCCCUGCUGCAGUGUCUGAUUGAGGGCCUCAGUGCUGAACCCAGAGUGGCUUCAAAUGUGUGCUGGGCUUUCUCGAGUCUGGCUGAAGCUCCUUAUGAAGCUGCAGAUGUUGCUGAUGAUCAGGAAGAACCAGCUACUUACUGUUUAUCUUCUUCAUUUGAACUCAGUUCAGAAGCUCUAGAGACUACAGACAGACCUGAUGGACACCAGAACAACCUGAGGAGUUCUGCAUAUGAAUCUCUGAUAGAAAUUGUGAAAAACAGUGCCAAGGAUUGUUACCCUGCUGUCCAGAAAACGACUUUGGUCAUCAUGGGGUGACUGCAGCAGGUGCUUCAGAUGGAGUCACAUUUACUCUGCACAACUGUUUAGAAUGUUCUUCGGAAAGUGCAACAUCAAGAUGCAUUGCAGAUCUCUGAUGUGGUCAUGGCCUCCCUGCUAAGGAUGUUCCAAAGCACAGCUGGGUCUGAGUGAGUACUAGAAGAUGCCCUGAUGGCAGUUAGCACAUGGGUGGAAGUGUUGGGAGGUGAAUUCCUCAAGUACGUGGAGGCUUUUAAACCCUUCCUGGGCGUUGGAUUAAAAAAUUAUGCUGAGUACCAGGUUUGUUUGCCAGCUAUGGUCUUAGUGGGAGACUUAUGCUGUGCCCUGCAAUCCAACAUCAUACCUUUCUGUGACGAGGUGAUGCAGCUGCUUCUGGAAAAUUUGGGGAAUGAGAACGUCCACAGGUCUGUGAAGCCGCAGAUUCUGCCAGUGUUUGGUGAUAUUGCCCUUGCUAUUGGUGGAGAGUUUAAAAAAUACUUAGAGGUUGUAUUGAAUACUCUUCAGCAGGCCUCCCAAGCCCAGGUGGACAAGUCAGACUAUGACAUGGUGGAUUAUCUGAAUGAGCUAAGGGAAAGCUGCUUAGAAGCCUAUACUGGAAUUGUCCAGGGAUUGAAGGGGGAUCAGGAAAACGUACACCUGGAUGUGAUGCUGGUACAACCCAGAGUAGAAUUUAUUCUGUCUUUCAUUGACCAUAUUGCUGGAGAUGAGGAUCCUACAGAUGGAGUGGUAGCUUGUGCUUCUGGACUAAUGGGGGAUUCAUGUACAGCAUUUGGGAAGGAUGUACUGAAAUUAGUAGAAGCUAGGCCAAUGAUUCAUGAAUUGUUAACUGAAGGGCGGAGAUCAAAGACUAACAAAGCAAAAACCUUGCUACAUGGGCAACAAAAGAACUGAGGAAACUGAAGAAUGAAGCUUGAUCUGUCACCCUUGGGAUGAUAACCUGAGGACCCCCACUGGAAAUCUCCAAUCUCUUGAAAAACCUGGAAGUGAGAAGUGUGCACGGUUGCUGAAUGUUUGGGAAUGAGAGGAUGAGUGAGUGAGGCUUGAAAACACACCACAUUGAAAAUCCUGCCACAGCAGCAGCCGCAGCCGCCAACAGCAGCGCUGUUAGUGAGCUAAGUAAGCACUGACUUCGUAGAAAACCAUAACAUCGGCCAUCUUGGAAAAGAGAAAACAAUGAAGUUACUUAUUAAAAAAAAAAAAAAAAAAAAA